GGAGGCAGGGAGGGAUGAAAGAGGGUCUUCAAAAAGUUCAGGGAAAACGCAUAUUAGGAAGAAACUGGAUUUCAGAAAUGUUUGCAUGGAACUCAACUCUCUUAAUUCCAUCUUCCAUGAACUUUUUGGAGUACCCUCCUGUGUGGCUUCAAGCUCGCGGUGCAGCCUCGUCCAGGGAGAGCCACUGGCCCCUUGGCCUUUGGUGUCUCCUGUGCCCAAUCCGAUCCGUGUCUGUUGACCCCCGCGUGCAUCUCACAUUGGCAGUGUCGUGGCAGGGAAUGGCGCUGGCUUAGGUACACGGAUGCAGCCUGCAUGAACCAAGUCGAACGUUAGCAAGACACAAGGUUCCCUGUCUCCUCCUCCCUCCUCACCGCACCCCAAGUCCUCUGUGCCAGACGUGGGACUCAGCUGCUGUGAUCCCGCUUCGGGAAAGGACUCGUGCUCAACUAGUCUGAGGGCCCGCCUCGGUGAAGCCCGAGGUCAGGCAGUGUCCUUGGGGCUGGCCAUUUCUGCCCAACGUGGACCUCGGCUGUUGAGCACCCUGUCAUUGGCAAGACCCUCCCUAGAGGUCAAAACUGCUAACUCGGGCGUGUCGCCGCCCAGACAUUUUUUUUCCUAUUCAUUCGUGUGCGUGUAUGUAAGUACACCCCCAAAUGAUGGGAGAUUUAUCAUGUUGCUCUUACCUA